rnacentral:rRNA from 1 species
GAUGAACGCUGGCGGCGUGCCUAAUACAUGCAAGUCGAGCGAACAGACGAGGAGCUUGUUCCUCUGACGUUAGCGGCGGACGGGUGAGUAACACGUGGAUAACCUACCUAUAAGACUGGGAUAACUUCGGGAAACCGGAGCUAAUACCGGAUAAUAUAUUGAACCGCAUGGUUCAAUAGUGAAAGACGGUUUUGCUGGCACUUAUAGAUGGAUCCGCGCCGCAUUAGCUAGUUGGUAAGGUAACGGCUUACCAAGGCAACGAUGCGUAGCCGACCUGAGAGGGUGAUCGGCGACACUGGAAGUGAGACACGGUCCAGGGUCCUACGGGAGGCAGCAGUCGGGAAUCUUCCGCAGUGGACGAGAGCCUGACGGAGCGACGCCGAGUGAGUGGUGGAGGUCUUCGGAUCGUAAAGCUCUGUUAUGAGGGAAGAACAAAUGUGUAAGUAACUGUGCACGUCUUGACGGUACCUGAUCAGAAAGCAACGGCUAACUACGUG